UCCGGCGCCUGAGGAUGGCUCUGCGGCUUAUCAGGUUGUAGUGAGAGUAACGUCCUCACUAGCCUAUGACGGGUACGGGCCCUGAGAGGGGAUGCCCGGAGAUGGACUCUGAGACACGAGUCCAGGCCCUACGGGGCGCAGCAGGCGCGAAAACUCCGCAAUGCUCGAAAGAGUGACGGGGGGAUUCCAAGUGCCUACGCUUAGCGUAGGCUGUUCAGAUGCCUAAAAAGCAUCUGGAGUAAGGGCUGGGUAAGACGGGUGCCAUCUGUGGCAGCAGCCGAAGAUUUGGCUUGUUGCUGCAAGGCAUAAGCCGCCGCGGUAAUACCCGCAGCCCGAGUGGUAGUCGAUUUUAUUGGGCCUAAAGCGUCCGUAUCCGGUCUGAUAAAUGCCUGGGUAAAUCGUCUGGCUUAACCAGACGAAUUCCGGGUAGACUGUCAGACUUGGGACCGGUUGAGGAAGAGGGUACUUUAGGGGUAGGAGUGAAAUCCUGUAAUCCUUGAAGGACCACCAGUGGCGAAGGCGCUCUUCUAGGACGGGUCCGACGGUGAGGGACGAAAGCCAGGGGAGCAAACCGGAUUAGAUACCCGGGUAGUCCUGGCCGUAAACGAUGUGGGCUUUGCAUUGGGGGUUCUACGUGGGCGCC
rnacentral:rRNA from 1 species